rnacentral:rRNA from 1 species
UACAGAGGUCUCAAGCGUUGUUCGGAAUCACUGGGCGUAAAGGGUGCGCAGGCGGCCAAGUGUGUGAGGCGUGAAAGCCCGGGGCUUAACUCCGGAAUUGCACCUCAAACUACAUGGCUAGAGCAUUGGAGAGGGUAGCAGAAUUCACGGUGUAGCAGUGAAAUGCGUAGAUAUCGUGAGGAAUACCAGAGGCGAAGGCGGCUACCUGGACAAUUGCUGACGCUCAGGCACGAAAGCGUGGGGAGCAAAAGGG